rnacentral:rRNA from 1 species
UACAGAGGUCUCAAGCGUUGUUCGGAUUCAUUGGGCGUAAAGGGUGCGUAGGCGGCGCGGUAAGUCGGGUGUGAAAUCUUGGAGCUUAACUCCGAAACUGCAUUCGAUACUGGCGUGCUUGAGGACUGGAGAGGAGACUGGAAUUUACGGUGUAGCGGUGAAAUGCGUAGAUAUCGUAAGGAAGACCAGUGGCGAAGGCGGGUCUCUGGACAGUUCCUGACGCUGAGGCACGAAGGUCAGGGGAGCAAACGGG